UUUAUAGGAGGAAAUGAAAGUUACAGUUUACCAUAUACCAUGCUUGCUUUUUAAGUUGAAAUGACUUAAUAAAGAUGACAUACAGCUCAAGUUCUGGGUAAAGGAAGGGAGCCCUCUCUCUUCACAGUACUAGCCUAACUGUGACCUAUAGGAUGGUGGAAGUAAGUCUGCAGGAAACAGAGAAGGGAAGGAUGUUGUAUAGCCUUGCAGUAUAUAUGAUAUGCGUGCUUUUUUCUUGUUUGUGUGUCUCUCAUUUUGUUUCUUCUCACAGAUAAAGAAGUUGUAUGGUGGUUAGCUCCUGCUCUUCUGUCUGCAGUUUCAGCGUGGAGAAUAGAAUAAAAAACUCCAAAUAUUAACUCUGUGAUAAGUCAAUUGUUUCUCACCGCACUGAUCUUCCAGCAAGACUUUCCACAGUGAAUUAGAAUUAAGUAGAGAUCCAGAAAAAAGGGACAUGGCAUCACACUAACAUUGCUGUUCAUUCGUGACAAAACUGUCCCGAGGGAAACUAUGCUAUUGGGCAUAUUCAUUGACUGGCUUCAAAGCAACUACUAUUACGUAUCAGUGAUACCAGCUGUCUCCAGAAAAUUUCUAAGGUAUUUUCUUGCUUUCACUGAUGGACAGGAGCACCUGCUUUGUUUCUGGAGGUGGCAGCUGCAGCCAAUAUCACCCCAACAGAACUGCUAAUGACAGGAUUUUCUACCAUUUGAGAGAGGCACCCAAAUGAAGAUCUUGUGAUAUCUGUUAAUGAAUACCUUCACCAGCUGACAAGGUGAGCUACUAAUGCAAUAUCACUCUAAUCUUCAUCUAGCACAUCUGGCUGAUCCAGGAAAAUUCAGUGUCACUCAGGGCUGAGCAUUAAGUGAUCAUCUUUGCCUGGACGCAUUCCUGUGCAAUCUAUCCUAUGUGAACCUGCUUUACCAGAUCAACUGGACUAGACGA